AACGAACGCUGGCGGCAGGCUUAACACAUGCAAGUCGAACGCCCCGCAAGGGGAGUGGCGCACGGGUGAGUAACGCGUGGGAACGUGCCCUUAGGUACGGAACAACGUCUGGAAACGGACGCUAAUACCGUAUAAUAUCUUCGGAUCAAAGAUUUAUCGCCUAAGGAUCGGCUCGCGUUGGAUUAGGUAGUUGGUGAGGUAAUGGCUCCCCAAGCCGACGAUCCAUAGCGGUUCUGAGAGGAUGAUCAGCCACACUGGGACUGAGACACGGCCCAGACUCCUACGGGAGGCAGCAGUGAGGAAUAUUGGACAAUGGAGGAAACUCUGAUCCAGCCAUGCCGCGUGAGUGAUGAAGGCCUUCGGGUUGUAAAGCUCUUUUACCCCUGACGAUAAUGACGGUAAGGGGAGAAAAAGCCACGGCUAACUUCGUGCCAGCAGCCGCGGUAA
rnacentral:rRNA from 1 species